UCCGGAAUCAUUGGGCGUAAAGCGCCUGUAGGUUGUUUAAUAAGUCUGUUGUUAAAGACUAGGGCUUAACCCUAGGAAAGCAAUGGAAACUACUAGACUUGAGUAUGAUAGGGGUAGAGGGAAUUUCUAGUGUAGCGGUGAAAUGCGUAGAUAUUAGGAAGAACACCGGUGGCGAAGGCGCUCUACUGGAUCAUUACUGACACUCAGAGGCGAAAGCUAGGGUAGCAAAAGGGAUUAGAUACCCCUGUAGUCCUAGCCGUAAACGAUGGAUACUAGAUGUUGCGUUUAUUAUGCAGUAUCGUAGCUAACGCGUUAAGUAUCCCGCCUGGGGAGUACGCUCGCAAGGGUGAAACUCAAAGGAAUUGACGGGGGCCCGCACAAGCGGUGGAGCAUGUGGUUUAAUUCGAUGCAACGCGAAGAACCUUACCAAGGCUUGACAUACUACAAAUUUUUCUGAGAAGAAAAAGUGCCUUCGGGAAUGUAGAUACAGGUGGUGCAUGGCUGUCGUCAGCUCGUGUCGUGAGAUGUUGGGUUAAGUCCCGCAACGAGCGCAACCCUUGUUUUUAGUUGCCAAUUCAUUGGGUUUUCUAGAAAGACUGCCGGUGACAAACCGGAGGAAGGUGAGGAUGACGUCAAGUCAGCAUGCCCCUUAUGCCUUGGGCUACACACGUGCUACAAUGGCUAGGACAAAGAGUUGCGAGCUCGCGAGAGUCAGCUAAUCUCAUAAACUUAGCCUAAGUUCGGAUUGUAGGCUGCAACU
rnacentral:rRNA from 1 species